AGAGUUUGAUCCUGGCUCAGGAUGAACGCUGGCGGCGUGCUUAACACAUGCAAGUCGAACGAACCUUCGGGUUAGUGGCGGACGGGUGAGUAACGCGUGGGAAUCUGCCCUCAGGAGGGGGAUAACGGCCGGAAACGGCCGCUAAUACCCCAUAUGCCGAGAGGUGAAAUGAAUUUCGCCUGAGGAUGAGCCCGCGUCUGAUUAGCUAGUUGGUGAGGUAAGAGCUCACCAAGGCAUCGAUCAGUAGCUGGUCUGAGAGGAUGAUCAGCCACACUGGGACUGAGACACGGCCCAGACUCCUACGGGAGGCAGCAGUGGGGAAUUUUCCGCAAUGGGCGAAAGCCUGACGGAGCAACGCCGCGUGAGGGAUGAAGGCCUCUGGGCUGUAAACCUCUUUUAUCAAGGAAGAAGAUCUGACGGUACUUGAUGAAUAAGCCACGGCUAAUUCCGUGCCAGCAGCCGCGGUAAUACGGGAGUGGCAAGCGUUAUCCGGAAUUAUUGGGCGUAAAGCGUCCGCAGGCGGCCCUUCAAGUCUGCUGUUAAAAAGUGGAGCUUAACUCCAUCAUGGCAGUGGAAACUGAGGGGCUUGAGUGUGGUAGGGGCAGAGGGAAUUCCCGGUGUAGCGGUGAAAUGCGUAGAUAUCGGGAAGAACACCAGUGGCGAAGGCGCUCUGCUGGGCCAUCACUGACGCUCAUGGACGAAAGCCAGGGGAGCGAAAGGGAUUAGAUACCCCUGUAGUCCUGGCCGUAACGAUGAACACUAGGUGUCGGGGGAAUCGACCCCCUCGGUGUCGUAGCCAACGCGUUAAGUGUUCCGCCUGGGGAGUACGCACGCAAGUGUGAAACUCAAAGGAAUUGACGGGGGCCCGCACAAGCGGUGGAGUAUGUGGUUUAAUUCGAUGCAACGCGAAGAACCUUACCAGGGUUUGACAUCCUGCGAAUCUCUUGGAAACGAGAGAGUGCCUUCGGGAGCGCAGUGACAGGUGGUGCAUGGCUGUCGUCAGCUCGUGUCGUGAGAUGUUGGGUUAAGUCCCGCAACGAGCGCAACCCACGUCUUUAGUUGCCAGCAUUUAGUUGGGCACUCUAGAGAGACCGCCGGUGAUAAACCGGAGGAAGGUGUGGAUGACGUCAAGUCAUCAUGCCCCUUACAUCCUGGGCUACACACGUACUACAAUGCUACGGACAAAGGGCAGCAAGUUCGCGAGGACAAGCAAAUCCCAUAAACCGUGGCUCAGUUCAGAUCGUAGGCUGCAACUCGCCUACGUGAAGGAGGAAUCGCUAGUAAUCGCAGGUCAGCAUACUGCGGUGAAUACGUUCCCGGGCCUUGUACACACCGCCCGUCACACCAUGGAAGUUGGCCACGCCCGAAGCCGUUACUCCAACCCUUGUGGAGGAGGACGUCGAAGGUGGGGCUGAUGACUGGGGUGAAGUCGUAACAAGGUAACC
rnacentral:rRNA from 1 species